rnacentral:rRNA from 1 species
GGAUCCUGGCUCAGGAUGAACGCUGGCGGCGUGCUUAACACAUGCAAGUCGAACGAGCCUUCGGGCUAGUGGCGGACGGGUGAGUAACGCGUGAGAAUCUGCCCUCAGGAGGGGGAUAACGGCUGGAAACGGCCGCUAAUACCCCAUAUGCCGCGAGGUGAAACGAGUUUUCGCCUGAGGAUGAGCUCGCGUCUGAUUAGCUAGUUGGUGGGGUAAGAGCCUACCAAGGCAUCGAUCAGUAGCUGGUCUGAGAGGAUGAUCAGCCACACUGGGACUGAGACACGGCCCAGACUCCUACGGGAGGCAGCAGUGGGGAAUUUUCCGCAAUGGGCGCAAGCCUGACGGAGCAACGCCGCGUGAGGGAUGAAGGCCUCUGGGCUGUAAACCUCUUUUCUCAAGGAAGAAGAACUGACGGUACUUGAGGAAUAAGCCACGGCUAAUUCCGUGCCAGCAGCCGCGGUAAUACGGGAGUGGCAAGCGUUAUCCGGAAUUAUUGGGCGUAAAGCGUCCGCAGGCGGUCUUGAAAGUCUGUUGUUAAAGCGUGGAGCUCAACUCCAUUUCAGCAAUGGAAACUAGAAGACUAGAGUGUGGUAGGGGCAGAGGGAAUUCCCGGUGUAGCGGUGAAAUGCGUAGAUAUCGGGAAGAACACCAGUGGCGAAGGCGCUCUGCUGGGCCAUAACUGACGCUCAUGGACGAAAGCCAGGGGAGCGAAAGGGAUUAGAUACCCCUGUAGUCCUGGCCGUAAACGAUGAACACUAGGUGUCGGGGGAAUCGACCCCCUCGGUGUCGUAGCUAACGCGUUAAGUGUUCCGCCUGGGGAGUACGCACGCAAGUGUGAAACUCAAAGGAAUUGACGGGGGCCCGCACAAGCGGUGGAGUAUGUGGUUUAAUUCGAUGCAACGCGAAGAACCUUACCAGGGUUUGACAUCCUGCGAAUCUUUUGGAAACAGAAGAGUGCCUUCGGGAGCGCAGAGACAGGUGGUGCAUGGCUGUCGUCAGCUCGUGUCGUGAGAUGUUGGGUUAAGUCCCGCAACGAGCGCAACCCACGUCUUUAGUUGCCAGCAUUAAGUUGGGCACUCUAGAGAGACCGCCGGUGAUAAACCGGAGGAAGGUGUGGAUGACGUCAAGUCAUCAUGCCCCUUACAUCCUGGGCUACACACGUACUACAAUGCUACGGACAAAGGGCAGCAAACUCGCGAGAGCUAGCAAAUCCCAUAAACCGUGGCUCAGUUCAGAUCGUAGGCUGCAACUCGCCUACGUGAAGGAGGAAUCGCUAGUAAUCGCAGGUCAGCAUACUGCGGUGAAUACGUUCCCGGGCCUUGUACAC